AUGUCCUCCCCGCCGCCGGAAGCCGUGGGGGACGCUGGUGCCCCUUCAUCCAGCGGUACUUUGCCACAGGACAUAAGUGAUGUGUCCAAAUCUACAGUUGGUCAGCUGCAAGCAGCAGAUCAGAAAGCAAGUGCCCAGUCAAGCCAGCAGGCAGGGCAACCACAUAUGAAUCCAUCAUAUCAGUUGUCUCAACCAAAAUUGGAAACUGGAGUUUCAGAAAAUGAAAACUUUAGCCAACAGGAGGAACACCAUUACCAGCCAGAACAAGAGCAGCCACGUUGUGAGAAUCAACUGCAGCAGGCAGAAACAAAUAGCUUCCAGUUGGCAGAAAAAGGAACAGACUAUGUUGGUCAACAGAGUUUGACAGGCUCCAUGGAAGAUGUCGCUCAGCCUUCAGGAGAUCAGCAGCAUGUAAAUCCAGUUGUUGGUCAGCAAGCACCGCAUGGUGCCCAGGAAACAAGGAAGAGGGGAUAUCAGCCAUCUAUACCAUUUAAUAUGUUGAUUCCAAUCCUACAGGCGCAUCUUGACAGAGAUAAAGACAUGCAGCUUCAAUCUGUAUGGGCAAAACUUAGGCGUAAUGAAGUCCAUAAAGACGAUUUCUUAAGAGUCAUAAGGAAUAUCGUUGGGGAUCAAAUGCUCAAGCAGGCGGCCCAUAAAGUUUUUGCACAGAUGCAAGCUCAGGCACAACGAAAUAAUAACCAAGGAAAUGCAAAUCAACAUUCUUCGUCAUCUCAAGCAUCUACAGCCGCGAGUGGAUCGGCAAAAUUGCCUGAUCAGCUAGUUCGCAUGCCCACCCCACCUAACCAGGGUCACAAUAGCCAGACAUCAUCUUCAGCUCAGAACUUUGUGCCACUUUCAGGCACACAAAUGCAAAACAGUAUGCAUUACUUUGCUCAUGAUAGUUCUAUCCAAAAGCCAGAUGUAAAGGGGGUGCAUGCUUUGCCGAAUCGACCACCCGGUAUGAGCCUGCCAAUUCCACUGCAGACAAGUAACAAACAGCUGCAACCCACGGAAAUCCAGCAAGCGUCACAGCAAUUAUAUGGACCUACUGGCACCCCUCAGUCGUACCCUCGGCCAACCAGUGGUUCGAUGCCUCUUAGACCACAGAGUCAAGCGCCUGAAACACGACCUCCCUUUCAUCCUCAUGGAAGGAUUCCUGCAAAAAUCGGAACUGUUCCUACUCAUCCGACAAUGCAACAGAAUGCAUCGGCACGCCAAAUGCAACAAAACAAGGAUAUAAAAAAUAAUGCUUAUAACCCAAGUGCUAAUACAAAACAAGGUUCUGAGCCUGCAGGCAAGGCCCGCCAGGUUGGCCCAGGAGGCCCUUCGGCGAAAUUGCAAGGAAAGCAGGCGGCCCCUAAAACAUCUACACCACCUGCUGCAAGGACUAAGAAAUUGGGUGGCCAGAAGAAAUCAUUGGAAACGGCUGGUUCAGCACCACCACCAACCAGCAAAAGACAAAAGACAGCUGGAGCCUUCCAGGAACAAAGCAUCGAUCAACUUAAUGAUGUCACAGCUGUUAGUGGUGUUAAUCUUAGGGAAGAAGAGGAGCAACUGCUCUCUGCCCCCAAGGAAGAGAGCCCAGCCACAGAAGCAGCACGGAGAAUCGUACAGGAGGAGGAAGAAAACCUCUUUCUGCAGAGGGGCCCUCUUCUGAAGAAAUUGGCAGAAAUCGUUCUUAAAUCUAACUUGAAGAACGCUGGCGCUGAUGUUGGACGUUGUUUAUCAAUGUGUGUGGAGGAGCGACUGCGAAGAUUCAUAAGUACUCUCAUAAGAGUUUCAAAGCAGAGAACCGAUGCAGAAAAGACUGGUCAUCGACUAGUUAUUACUUCAGAUGUCGGCCGUCAAAUUUUGCAGAUGAACCAGAAAGCUAAAGAAGAAUGGGACAAAAAGCAAGCAGAAACUGACAAGAACAAGAAACAGACUGAGGAUGGGGGCAGUGGUGGCGCAGAAUUGGAGAAAGAAAAAGAGGAAAGCCGUCCAAAGAAUGCGAAGCCCAACAAAGAAGAAGACGAUAAAAUGAGAACAACAGCUGCAAAUGUCGCUGCUCGGCAGGCAGUUGGAGGAAGUGAUAUGUUUUCAAAGUGGCAGCUGAUGGCCGAACAAGCUAAGCAGAAGCGGGCACCAGCUCCAAGACCAUCCCAUGUAUCUGGAAAAGGGUCUGCAGAACGCAGUGAGGCUUCAAAGAGGAGCCAUCUUGCGGCAUUCGGAACUGGAGGCACGGAAAGGCAAGGCAAGGGUUCAUUUGCGAAUCGCCACUCGCAUGGGCCUCAGCGAACUGUUUCCGUGAAGGAUGUAAUUUCCGUCCUGGAGAGGGAGCCUCAGAUGACGAAAUCGCGGCUGAUCUAUCGGCUGUAUGAGCGAUUGCCUGGAGAGUCCACAGAUUAG
rnacentral:rRNA from 1 species